UUGCAUAACACUAAAAUAAAAUCAAUCAUCAUACUUUUAGAUCAUACCUAAAAUUUUUAUGAUUUAAAAUUUUAUUUUAUCAUGAUUAAAAUAAUUUUAAUCAUAUAGAUUAGAUGUCUUACAUUUCAUACAACUUUAUAUCAUAUACAACAAACUUAGGGUUUCAAAAUCUAGGAUUUUACAGAAAAUUAAGUUCUUCCUUUCACAUUCUUCUUCAUGGGAUCUAAUCACAUGACACCCCUAC
rnacentral:lncRNA from 1 species